AUUAGAUACCCUGGGUAGUCCAUGCCGUAAACGAUGAGUGCUAAGUGUUGGGAGGUUUCCGCCUCUCAGUGCUGCAGCUAACGCAUUAAGCACUCCGCCUGGGGAGUACGACCGCAAGGUUGAAACUCAAAGGAAUUGACGGGGACCCGCACAAGCGGUGGAGCAUGUGGUUUAAUUCGAUGCAACGCGAAGAACCUUACCCGGCCUUGACAUCCCGAUGACGCAGGAGUAAUGUCCUGUUCUCUUCGGAGCAUUGGAGACAGGUGGUGCAUGGUUGUCGUCAGCUCGUGUCGUGAGAUGUUGGGUUAAGUCCCGCAACGAGCGCAACCCUUGCCUUUAGUUGCCAGCAUUAAGUUGGGCACUCUAGAGGGACUGCCAGGGAUAACCUGGAGGAAGGUGGGGAUGACGUCAAAUCAUCAUGCCCCUUAUGCCUAGGGCUACACACGUGCUACAAUGGGUGGUACAGAGGGCAGCCAAGUCGUGAGGCGGAGCUAAUCCCUUAAAGCCAUUCUCAGUUCGGAUUGUAGGCUGAAACUCGCCUACAUGAAGCUGGAGUUACUAGUAAUCGCAGAUCAGAAUGCUGCGGUGAAUGCGUUCCCGGGUCUUGUACACACCGCCCGUCACACCACGGAAGUUGGGGGCGCCCGAAGCCACUUAGCUAACCCUUUUGGGAAGCGAGUGUCGAAGGUGAAAUCAAUAACUGGGGUGAAGUCGUAACAAGGUAAC
rnacentral:rRNA from 1 species